UACGUAGGGUGCAAGCGUUAUCCGGAAUUACUGGGUGUAAAGGGUGCGUAGGCGGUCAGCUAAGCCAUAUGUGAAAUCCCCAGGCUCAACUUGGGAACUGCGUCUGAUACUGGAUGGCUUGAAUUCGGGAGAGGGAUGCAGAAUUCCAGGUGUAGCGGUGAAAUGCGUAGAUAUCUGGAGGAAUACCGGUGGCGAAGGCGGGUCUCUGGGCCGAUACUGACGCUGAGGAGCGAAAGCGUGGGGAGCGAACAGGAUAGAA
rnacentral:rRNA from 1 species